GAAUGAUGACAUACUGUCAGGUGUAGGCAUGCCCUUGGGCAUUUCCUCUGAAAAUACCUAAACCCGAUUUCCUUUUUUGACAUAGCCACCUAAGCAAUUCUUCAAAAACCAUACAGCUAUCAGUCUUUCCAAAAACCAGCUGGAGCAGCUGGAGGUUGAAGACCCGCAAUUUGCAUACAAAUCAAUUGUUAGCACUAUGUUCAAAUUAAAACUGGGAGAAUUUCCUUUCAGUACUGAUCUUGCCUACUUGGAAACUGUGGCAGGUUAAACUCUGUUGGCUGUUUGAGACCCACCCAGCUCUCUCACUGUCCUUUUUCACUGAGACACAGGGACUGGAAAUAAGAUGGGAAAGAUCAUGGGUUGAGAUAAAGACAGGGAGAUCACUUAUCAAUUACAAUAAUGGGCAGAACAGACUCAACUUGGGGAAAAGUUAAGAGUAAGGUGGUGAGGAACAGGGACAAACCGAAAAACACCCCACUCUCUGCUGCACCUUUUCUGAGGCUCAUUUCCCCUUCAAUACAGGUCCUUCCAGUGGUGUAUAGUCUUUCAGUAAUGGACUCCUUCUCUGCUGGUCCCCCACAAGCUGUAGUUCCUGCCAGAUAACUUGUUCUUGUGUGACCUCCUCUUCAUGGUUGUUGCUAGUAGCCUGUUCUGAUAUGGUCCUCCACAGGCUACAGAGGUCAUCCUCCUCCACAGGCUGCAAAGGAAUCUCUGCUCUGCAAACAUGAGCAUCUCCUCUUCCUCCAUGCCUAACCUUAGUAUCUACAGCUUUGCGUCUCUCUCUGUUUAUGUCAUUCCUGUCUCUUCUGCCUGCUGUAUAUUUUUUUCUACCCUUUCAUAUACAUGUUUUCACAGAGUCAUCACCAGCUGCGGUCUGUGGCUUGUCUGCUGACAAGCUGACUGGGAUAAAGAUAAAGAUACUAUUUAUCUCUCAGCUAUGUCCAGCAUAGGAAGACCAGGGCCUCUUCUAACAAAAGCCACCCCUUAAGUAUCCCAGCUAUCACAACUUUGCCAAACACUAUAAAGAACCAGAUUAGAGAACACUAGUUGAAAAUUUUGACCAGAAUAAGUUUUCCACAAAAAAGUUUUGUCUGUCUGACAUCCUGUUAAGUGUUAUAAUUCAAUUGAAUUAAGGAGAUAGUCUUAAUUUAACAGGCACUGAAGAGAAAAUGAGAAUCUAGCUUCAAACUUCUACUUCUUCCUUCCUUAUGCUUCCUUUAAUUUCUUUCUAUUAUUUUUUAUUUAAUUAUUUAUUAUUAACUUUCCUGUUAUUUUCGUAUCUUGGACACUGAAUGCUAUGCAGAAAUGGGAAUUAAAUCAAGGAAAUGUUGUGAGUACCUGAUUCAUUAACCAGAAAAUAAGAAACAAGGUAUGAAGGCAAAAGCUCUUUCGAGUUUAUAGUUCAUAGUAAUCCUAGAACUGGCUAUAGAUUGCAAAUACAGAACAUUUCACACAAUGAGAUGGGUCAUCCAUUUCAACUUAUUUUCCAAAGUGUGAAGCAUUUGUUCCAGGGAAAGGUACCAAAAUCAGUAAACUUCUGGUAAUCUCUCCAUCCUGCAUUAAGUUUUGUCCUUGGGAAACAUUUUGAGACAGAACUGAUAAAAUUGGAAAGAAAAUUCUUCCUACUGUAAAACCUUACAGGUGAAAACAUUAUUACAUCAUUACUAUUGCCACAGAUGUUAUGCUUUUAAAAUAAGGUUUAAAUUUUAAUCACCUGUCUAAUAUUUUCCCCGAAUCAGCAGAACAUGCCAUAAGGUAUGUAUUUCAUUUAUAUUGACAUUCUGUUAAUGGGCCCAAAUUUACACAUGUAGUUAAUUAUUUUGAUGAACAGGAAAGAAGAAUGUUUAUCUUAACAUUCAUUGCAUUUUUAGGUAGUCACAAGUGAUCACAGUCUGGGAUAUUUUUUAUUUUUCAGAUAAAUAGCAACUGUAAGAUAUUCAGAGGAAUACCUGUUCUCAUUUACUUUGAUGUUAUUCACAUUUAUUUUUUAAUUUUCCUUUGUAACCCCAGAUUUAUUUCAAUGUAACAAAAAAGCAGCUUUUGACUCCUAGCAAGUGUCAACAGUUCACAGGCCAAUUCAGCCUGGUUCCGUGACUAAAGGGGUGGGGGGACCAUGGACCCACCAGGAAAGGAAAAAGGGGAAAAGGGGAAAGGGUAUGGAGAUGGGCCUAAAAAUAAACAGCAGCAAUGAUCUGAGGAGGAAAGCUAACUUACUAAAAAGAUACUAGAAUGCAAGUUAAGGCAAUAUAAUACAAUGGGAUAAAAUUUAAAUGGAAUUGAAGAUGGUAACUCAAAUAAAAUGAGAGAGACAGUGUGUCCAAAAAAAAUGAAAGCCUUACUCUAUUGUUGAAGGCAAGAUGUCUAGCUGGGAAGAGCAGAAAUGGAAAAGGGAGCAGGGUCUUGUGACCUGCGGACAGUUUUUAUCUUUCCCUCUUAAUGGAAAAUGGAAACAGAGCAACGCAAAGUCGUCUGGGAUAUGUAGGUCUCUUUCUCUUGCAAGAACCAGGUGCCCAGAACUAUCCAUGACCCAUGGAACUGAAACAUUAAUUCUAAUUCCCAGUGCACUACAUGAUGUUACGAUGUGGAGUACUGAUAAAAAAAAAUCAUAAAACCAUUAAAGUGAGAUAAAAAAAAAAAAACAACAAACACAUCAUAUUGCCAGUUACAAAAACCCUUCCAGACACUUACUGAAAACAAAAUUUCACUUUCUGAAAUUUUCUGUAACAUUUUUAGAUAAGGGAGGAGGUAGUAGUGGGGAAUAUGAGAUCACUGUUUAUAAUGCCAAUCAUAUCUCCAAUAGGGGAUUAAGAUUCCUUUUCCUCCCUUAUUUAAUGUCUCAAAGCUUUGUAAGUAAGCUUUAAUAGUGUAAAAAUUUUGAAGAAAAAAAUAAAAGUAACUAAUAUUUUGGAGAUAACAUCUAAAAUUUCUUGAAGAGUUUGUAAAAUUUAUUGACAGAUAAAUAACUUGAAUUCUUAAUGGGAGGAGGGAUUCUUACAAAGUCAGUUAGUAUAAACACAUUUAGCUGACAAAAAGGCAAGAAGAAUGUUAGAGAUAUUUUUUAAUUUUUAAUGGUUUUUCUUCUUCUUUUUUUUUUUUUUGCUGAUGUUUGUUAAUGAUAAUUCCCUUUUCCUGUACUGUUUACUUUUAAUAAGACUCUAAAAACAGCAUAAAUACCAUAAAGUCACAAUCGUAAUUAUUCUGAUCUACUUAUAAGGGAGUAUAAAAAAAUAAACAGGGUAUCAGUGAAUUUAAGUGUUAAGGCUUGAUAAAUGAUUUAGAAUAUUGAUUACUAUUACAGAACAGGGGAGCACCUUUCCCAGGUUCACCUGAGAUUUAACCUACAAAAAAAUGGUCCAAUGUCUCUCAAUGUUUAAAGUUCCAUUCCAGUUAGUUUUUGCGAACUAUUGUCUAUACUGAGUAAUGUAGAACUGAGAAGCUACCCAAACAAUCUUGGAGAAAACUUUUACAUCUCUAUUACAGCACAAGUGUAAGUCCCCCCCAAAAAAGGACCAGCUAGACCAUAUUCAUCUGUUGAUUCAAUGAUACUAGUAGUUUAACCACAGUUCAUAAAAAUGUCCAGAAAAGAAGGUGCCUGAGUAACUGUACCAGAACUGAGAGGCUAGUGUGUUCCCUCCAGUAUAGAGAAGACAGAUCUGAGAUAGGGACACUUUAGGAAAGCCCUUGAAUAUGUCAUGGUAGGCUUGAUCUAUUCAGUUAAUUAUUAGAAGGGAAUGUUUUCAGGCAAUGGGACAUGGCUCUGUAUUAUCAGAAUAAUUGUAAGGAUCUCUUACAUUCAGUAAUCCCCCAAAAUACAUCUGCAUUAAUUAAAUAUAAAGACAGAAAUAAAUCUCUGUAUAUGUUUGUAUAUACCGUCAGGUGUGAAAUUACAUACUUAUAUUUUAAUAAUUCAGUUUUAUAAGUAAAAAAGAGGAUAAAUAUUAAUUCCUAUAUUUCUUCUUAAACCCAGUUUAAACUAACUGUACAUCAAAGUUCAUGGUGGAAAAUGUAUGUUCAGUUAAUUCUGAAAACAAUAGCUUUAGUAUGCUGGUCAUUACAGUACUUUCCUUCUUCAGGGUAGGGUUUUUAAUCUUUGCUAAAGAUCCAUCAGCUGCAUCUCUGAUACCUCUUACCUUCAGUACAACUUUUUAUAAUACGGUGAAGGACAUCAGAAAACUGUCUCUCAUCGUAACUGUAUGCUGCUGAGAAAAAUCUGGCCCAAGAUCUGACCUUUAGGUAAUUAUAUUUCAUGCUCAAGAAUCAGAGCAUUCAUACUCUUCUGCAUGUUGUCUUCUUCUUCCAAUGUAUAACUCCUUCAAGUUUCUUUCCACUAAGGAGUGGCAGAGUUCAAAGAGCACUAAUUCUCCAAAGCAUUAUAAAUACAUGUGUACUAGUGUGUCAAGAUUGCACAGACAAAAUGCAUAACAUAAUGGCUUGAUGACUUUUCAUCACCCUGUCUUGGCGUAUCGUCCCGAAGUUGCAAUACCCCAGCCCAGUAGUAGUGUUUUGUUAGGAUGCUAAGAUGUGGCUCCACUCCUCUUCCAUUGCCUACGGUGGUGGAUUUCUUGUUCCUUUCCUCAUUUUUUUGUGUAUGGUUUUCUAAACGUGCAUACAUCAUACAGACUUUUUUUUUUGUUGACUUUGGGAAAUUAAAAGAAAAAUAAUUAAAUCUUAAGGGGAAAACUUGACUCUGUAGUGUCAGAGCCUAUCUUCUGAAACUGAGUUCAUUUUGAAUUUGCAGGGAAAUCCAUAUAGCUAUAAUACUUCCUUUGUUUUCUCCAUAAUGUGUUUUAAAGAGGUUGUGUAUGACAGAUCUGAAAAACAUUCUUUUCUCAGAACUGAAGCAAAGGACAUACUCAUAAGGUAGGAUACUUCAUAUCAUCUCAAUUAAUUCAUGAACAUGUCACAUGCUCUUUUACAUCCCCAUGAGUGACAUGGUACUUAGACUUUGUUAAGGAUUCUGAAGCACGGACUGACUUCUCAGAAAGGUUAUCAGAUGUAGUCACACUAUUUGCAUCAUCUUGAUCAGCAUUCUCUUUGAUCCUCAGCCUAAGACAUUUGCAGAGAUGACUCCUUUUUGCAUGCUGGAAAAGCAUCAGGCUUCAUUUUCACAAACAGGUGAUGAAGAAAUGUUUGCAACAAAUAAUGAAGAAUGUCAAUACCAUACUUCACCAUGGUUAAUCCUUAAUGAAUGGAGUAUCUUGAAUUUGAGUACCACGACAGCAAAGUCCAAAACAGAUUAGGUGCUAUAAUUGUAUGAAGGCAUGUGGGAAAACUACCUCAAACUUCAUACUGUCCUGCACAACCAUGAAGAAGCAGAUCUGAUGCUAAACAUUCUAGAGAAGUAGAUAUAAACUGGGAAUACCAGAACUAGAACCAGGAUAAUCCAGAGGAUAUGAUCAACUGGUAUUUGUGGCAUGCUUCAAGACAUUGGUUUCCUAACCUAGGAGACUAGGAACUUGUCAGGACACUUGACAGCAGUCAUCCAGCAGUGCUUGAUUAUGAUUAAUCUGAAAAUGGGGGGAAGAUAAUUGAAAGGAAUACUGAAGAGUGUGAAAUAAUGUAAUAUCAUUAUCUAUGAAACGAGGGUGUGUCUAGAGGAAACUUGAAUCUGGAAACCAGAAACCUCCUGAAAUUUAGAUAGUAAUUGGAUUUAUAUAUAACUCUAUUCAAAAAUUUCUAUACAUAUAACCUAUUUUAAAAGUGCUAUUAAUUGGUGGUAUUUAAGAAAAUUAUUUCCAUUCAUUUAUAAGACAGAAUGGUUUCCUUGCUUCUGUGAUACUCUCUGAAAGACAAAAAAAGCAUUUGAAAAAGAUGCAGAUUAUGAAUCAACACCUGCUGCCAAAGAGACUGAGGAUAAGAAUUCUAUUACAUGUUCAUGAAAAUCAUGGCAUCUGUCUUACUUUCUUGUUCCAUAGCAUACAGGAGUAAUUUUUUUCUUCUUUCUGGAAAACACAUAGCUGCCAGAAGAUUCCACUAGACUUAACUAACCAUAAUUCAGUAUCAGGUAACAUUUCAUUUUAACUGCAGCAGAGAGAAACACAAAUAGACAUGCAGGUCUAGAAUAAUGUGAAGUGUGGUUGCAAGCAUAAUCAUUGUGUUUUUAACACUGAUUAUUGUAGAGGGAAAUGUCUUUUCUGAAAUUGUGUUUGUAUGUUCCUUAGUCUUGAAAUGUCACUUGAUUUCAGUCUCAGUGGAAUAACACUUGAAGCCUUCACAAAUGUAAAAUGAACAAGAUCAUCAAUAUUUUGUACCACUCUACCAUCUUGAAUCAAAUAUGACAUAUUUCAUUUUUUUCACUGACAAUAUAUUUUCAUGGGAUUUUUUAAGUUUCCCUCUACUGGACCUUAUCAGAUAUAUUCUCAUCAGUACUUUCUUUAGCAGAAGAUGCCAGAACAGCAAGGAAAAGAAUCAGCUCACUAGAUUCAAAAAUGAGUGACUGUUGCAGACCUCUCAUCUUUUCAUUUUACUCUCUUAAGACCAUAUGCCAAAGUUUCUUUGCUUUUAGUUUGUCAGUGGAAAUAGAACUUAUCCAUUGUGAUGAAUGAUGCAGUAACUUUAAAGUUCAGAGUUUCAAGUAGAAGUAAUGCAUUUCUAAAAUAAAAUAGAUCAUAUGAGGAAAAUGUACGCAUAUUGCACAAACGGAAAAUAGUAAACAAGUGAAUGCUAACCAAUCUGAGUAAUGUAUGAAUGAUGGAAUGUUUUUUUCUAAUUUAUUCAGUUUUACAAUUCCUUUGAAGUAUAUCUCCAAAAUACUGAUAUCAAGAGACACUGGUAGAUUGCUCAUGAUAAAUAUCUGCUGUUGUGCAAUUUAAAACAAACUCCACUCAAAACAAAUAAAAGGUACAAAACUUCAAAGAUAAGUAUGGUUCUUCUCAAGUAUACUUGGUCUGGAUCUGCUGCUUUUGGUUAAAGCAAAAAAUACCAGCUAUUUUUAUUGGCGCUUAAUCAAUUUUUUACCCUAAAAUUCAAUUACAAGUUCGAAAAUAUUUUUUUUUUUUUUGUGAUGUAUUCUCCAUUUGAUAAGUAUUGAUAUUUUCCUAGAAGAAAUAUUUGGCUUUCACCGUGGAGUUUUUUGCUAUCCAAGCACCUUUUAGAUAGACCACUUGCUCACGAUAGAAAGGUUUACAACUUCUUCAUUUUCCUUUCUCAUUAGCUAGAGUCUGACAAAUAUACCAAACUCUCUGUUAAUGCACUGAUAUGAGAAUGUUAUUCUCAUUAUGCUCAAAUCUUCAGAUUGUCUUGUUCUGAUGACUUCAUUCAGAUAUUGAUUUAUUUUACUGUUAAUUAUUACUGAAUCUCUCUUGGUUAAUAUUUCUCAAGGGACAAGAGGAAAUCCUUUGUUUUAUAGAAUUUAGAAACCUUUGACUCAAUUUAUUUUUGUCCUGAAUACUGUGUCAAAUUUCAAUGCAAACAUUCCUUUCAAAAUGUAUAUUGGAAAUGAAGAUUUGCUGAAAUACCAUACAAAAGAACUUUCAUCUUUAACAUUUCAGGAACAAAACUGAAAAAUAACAACAAACAGAACUAAAAUUCCUGUAAAGCUGAAAUUUCCUUAAUUGAAUUUAAGGCUUAAAUUAGAGUUCAUUGUACAUAAUUAUAUGUAUUCUGACUCUGUAAACACAAAAUUUUUUUGUUGUUGUUCUUCUUGAAAAAAAUAAAGAAAAACAUGGAAUGAAUUUUGGAAGUUUUAAGAUCAGGAGAAUUUUACAAAUGUUUUAUAUGUAUGUUUUUAUUUAUGAUACAUAUACAAAAAAAUUAUUUAUAUAUGAAUGAUAAUCAGGUAUUAAGGAUGAGGAAGGCAGGGCAAUAUUUUUUCACCAGCACUCAGCGACCUAUGGAAAGAUUUUCUGAAUAAUUAAGUUCAAUGUAUAUUUUAGGUUCCAAGAUGCUGCUGAUUAUUAUCCUUAGAAACCAGCGCUUUGGUUCCUAGUCAAACAUAAAACUUGUCUGCACAGUAAAAAAGUUGAUUGCCAUAGCAAUUUCAUUAUAAAGGAGUAAUGAUGAGAAGAAUUACUAAUCUGGAAUAAAGUUAUUUUAAAAUGAAGUGUCCACAGGAGAGUUGUUCUAGUCACACAUGGAGGCACGUUUUUGGAAUCUUAAGCUAACAGUAACUACUGAAAAAUACAGUGAUGUUGCAAACUCAGAUGGGUGCUUUCACAAAGCUGAAAUUAAUCCCACCAUAACAAAAACAACAUCAAGAAAAUGAAUAGAGAUGCUACUUAUUAAAAAUUUAUAUAUAUAAAAAACUUUUCAAGGCCCAUGACAAAAAUUAUUUAAAUUCAUGAGAUUUCAUGUUUUUAUUGUCACAAUCGCUUUAUUCUGUAGACACAACAAAACUUUUUUUUUCCUAUCUCCAAAAUUAAAUAACAACUGCAACAUAACAACCCAACUUGCAGUCAAAUGGGACUGGACUUUUAUGAUUGUUUCCCUGUCCAGCUUACUUUCAUUUGAAAACCAGAAUUUGGUUUAGCCUAACUCUGACAAUCCAUUCAUUUAAAAUUAGAACAAAUUUGAAAGAAAUUUAAACAGAAGAGGUAGAUAUUUAUAGUCUUAUUUAACCACAUGGCUUCCUCUGAACCCUCUGUAAAGAUUCAGGUAGAGUGCUCUGGCUGUGCUGUUAAGCAAACACCAUCUGUGUUAUAGAGUGUGCCAAAAGCAUCCAUGUAGAAUGUGGAAUGAGUCUGCUGGCAACUAUUUUCAGUACUUCACAUCCUAGUGAACUACAUAACUACAUCUGCUAAAAAGCUGUUUUGUUUUCUUUUUCUUUUUUUUAAACUAACAUUCUUUUUGGGGGGAGUAGGUGAUGUGGGGGCUGAAUGGAAUGAGGACCAAGUUGUAAUGAAGCAAAAUGAGACUGUUCUGUUGAAAAAUUUCUGGUAUCAAAAUAUGGAAAAUUCCAGAUGCUCUCCUCAGUUUUCUGGAUGUGCUGAAUCAGAGCACUCUUUUCAAGCAACAUCCAGCAGCAACUAUGUGCUAUGUACAAAUCAAUAAUUCUUAUCUAUAACCCAUUAAAUGGCCAUGAAAUGCAGAGGGAGUCCCAAUGCACUUUCCGUACUUUCUAAUAGGCUAAACAGUGACCCAAAUCUGAUUUUAUAGUUGAUACCAAACUUAAUAAAAUAAGAACUCUGCUGAUUGAGUUUCACAGCAAUUUUCAAUUCUGUCUUUAUCUACAUCUAAACACUGUAUGCAUACAAUUGUGCUUUUAUUGUUAAAUAAACACAAAAGUGCACCAGUGUGCUUUACAAAGUAAUACAUCUUCCGUUCUGCUUGUAAUUAAAGUAGAUGUCAAGGUAGAAUGACACAAAGAAAAUAAUGUUGUCAUACUACACUGGAUGCUGAUAAUGCCAUUUUAGGAUGGAGAUGUAUGAUAUGGAAGGAUGUGCAUUAUAGUGUUCAUAUAAUAUUUUCCCUGUCUUUUAAUCACCAUCAAGAACCACAAAUUCAGUGGUAACAAUCCUGAAUUGUGUGUAUACUUACUGGAGUGCUUUUAUAAUUUAUUUUCUAUGUACUUAUUUUUAUUCUUGUUCCUUCUUCCCUUUACGUAAUGUAAACACUGAAUCAUUUUAAAUUAUAAGUCAGUUAGCAAUUUCCGUGAAGAGAAACAGCGACCAACAUUACACAUUCCUAUCUUUAAAGCAGGGAUUUUUUUUUUCCUCUUCAGUUUAUUAAGAAACUUGGCUCAUUUCUUAUGUGUACCCCUAUGUGAUAUGACAAUCAAACUGAGUUGACUGGAAGGCUAACAAAGGUGAAGUGGGAAGGAAAUCCAGGUGAACAAUUCAAAAUAUCAGCUCAUUUCAAGUAGUUCACUAGAAACAAAAUCAAAUAGACACGGGGAGAAGGGAAAAUAGGUGUACAAUGAAAUUCUAAAGGACUUGGGCAAAAAUUAGAAGAGACUAAAAUUAGGUUUAAGUAGAUGUUGUAGACAUAAAAUUAAACCUUUCAGAUGUCAAUUUUCAUUAUCAUCUGAAAAGGAUUACCAGAGAAUGACUAGAGUAGAAUGAACUAAGGAUGUUAUUUGAGUAAGUGGACCAGGGAAACACCUAUUUUCCUGUGUAUGUGUGAAAGAGAUGUGUUUCCUAAGAUUGGCAAGUAAACUCUGUCAGAUUGGGCAGAAUCUCUGAUUUGAAGAACACAGCCGCAAUCUAACUGAAAUACUCUAUAGUUUUCUCUGUUUAUGUAUUUGUUUGUUCCCAGUAAGAGAGGUUUGAACUUUACAGUGCUAAAUUAAUUUUAUUAAAUGUGUAGAACCUGAUGAUACAGAACAGUAUGUGUUUAAGUGUCUAAUUUUACAUGACAAUUCUCUUGAUUAUCCUGGCAUUAGUAACUUUCCCUUUACUUCAUUAAAAACACAACACAAACCUAAAUCCUACACUUUUUAAAUAAUAUGUUAACAAACCCAGCAGUGACCAAUAACAUUAUGAAGUCUAUUUUCACAGUGUUGAUUUGGAGGGAAGAUUGCAGAAAGCUGUUACAAACCAAGCUGUUUAAAGCUUUAUAAUUUAUAUAAUACUUGAUGUACAACUGGUAAAACAUGCUCUUGCACAAAGGCUUAAUGAUAAAACAAAAUGAGCAGAAAAGUAAAAACAGGAAGCCAUUUCUGUAUGUUGCAUUAACUGUGAAUUCUAAAAUUCUUAUUCCUUGUAAGAAAUUAUAUAAAAACAUAAAAAAACUCUUACUGCCUUAACAGAAGUCAUAUUUCCUUCCAAAUGAACAUUCUCAAAUGUAGACUUUGAUAGUUAUUAAGAAAAUAUAUAUAGGUUAAAGUAUGGGUUUUUAUGUAUAUAUACGUGCACACAAGGGUUGUUCCAAAAGUAAUGCCUCCUAUUUUAUUACAUAGGCCUGCAGUGUUAGAGGCAGAUGUCAGUGGUAUGUCAAAAUCUUGAACAUUCCUGCCAAUAUCCCAACAUGUUGUUGCUGUACAACAGAUGGCAGCAGAGGGGCAGUCUGACAAAUUGAUAUCAGACACAGGCAUGCACACUCAGGAAGAUAUCUCACCCACUUAUAUUCAUUGAUUCUUGCUGAAAGCUUAUAAAAAAGAGUGGAUGUGAGCACAGUGGGUGGUGUGUUUCAGCAGUGAUGAUAGUAAUGUAAGAGACAAGCUACGUACUGGACAGCCACACACAGCCAUUACAUCACAAAAAGAAGUGCCUUGAUCAGCCCAUCCAUAUAGAUCAGCUAAUGGUGGUGACUAUGUUGAAAAAUAUUAUCUUGUACCCGAGAAUUUGCUUUAACAAAUAGUGUUAUUGUGUUCUUUGUUGCAGUUUCUACAGAAAUAAAUAUAAGGCAUUACUUUCAGAGCAACCCUCGUAUAUUAAUAUUUUACAAUAGCUCUUUCCACACCACUCACUGUAUAACUCCUACUAAAAAAAUGAAAAAAGUAAAUGAUACAAAACAUUAGUAAAUAGACUUAUUUGUAACCUUUGUUAGUUCAUACAUAAAGUGGUAAUCAUUAAUUUUCUUAUUUUAAAGAAAGAGGAGUGUUAUGGUAUUUUGAAUACCACUAAGUUUGUGUAAAAUGUGCUAGUAGCCUCUGGGCUGGGAAACACUUAAGGGUGUCAAAGUAAACAUAACUCAUACUAAAACAAAACAUUUUCUAUAAUUACAUCUGUUCUGCCACAUUUUGCUUUGCCACCUGCUUUACAAAUAUAUUUCAUGUGAGCUCAACAUUCACUAUUAGUGGUAGCAAUUCAAAAAAUAAAAUGCUUAGCUCUAAAUUGCGACUGAUUGUCACUGUAGAGAGGGAAAAUAUAAUAUUAUAUGGCUGUACUAGCUAUAAAUUCUUGUUAGCAGGUGCUCUAGUAUAAAAGUAUAAAUGUAAAGUGGACCAUUGAAGUGAUUUCCAGAAGUGGAAAAGGAACUUGACGUGAUAGUGCAGUUGUCUGGAACGUGGUUAAAAUAUUAUCUGUCUUCCUCCCUAACUGAAGAUUUGAUGUAUUCCAGCAGUUGAGCUACGCUUGCAAAGUUUUUUAAGGCAAUAUGACCUUGAGUUAAGAUCAUUACAUUCACAUAACCAAAAAGAAAUGUCUUGGGCCCAACUGAUAUUUUUAUCAUAAAAAGCAAUCUGCACAUCUCUGUAGCCCCUCUAUUCCUGGGGUGGCAACAGGAAACAGUGAGAUGCUUGUGCUGAAGGUGUUUACUGGAAUGAUCACACAGAGAUUUUCACUCUGGAUAUCCAAAACUGAGAGCUAGGAAAA